UUUUUUUGUCGAAAAUUCUGGUUUUCAUUAAAUGUUAAACCGGUACAGAAUUGAUUGCGAGUAAAGCAGCUUUAGCAGCUGCAUCUGCCUUACGAUUGUUUUCUCUCUUGACAAAAUGAAAGCUAAUAUCAGCGAAACUGAGAGAGAUAAAAAGGAUGUCAUGUAGAAUCCCUUGAAGCUCCUUUGGAUGAAGCUCCCCCACGAUUGCUUCGACAAGCUGCUGCGAGUCAGAAGCUACAACAAGUUUUUUGAAUCCUCGAUUUGACGCCUGUUGGAUGGCAGAGAAGAGAGCGAUCGCCUUCGCCAUUAAAGGGGAAGAUACCUCUCUCGCCACUGCGUGAUCCUGGAUCUCAGAGUGAUUUGAGUUAUCUACAAAAAUCCAUCCCAAUCCCGCAUCAUGUGAAUCCUCUCGCCACGCUGCAUCUGUGAAACACAAGAUUGCAUCCGAUUCAAAUUCCGGCACAAUUGGUCUUGAAAGCAGAGUCUGGUGUCCCUGAGGUCCAGAUUGUCCAAAUAAUCCAGGGGAAAAGAGGGUUUGAGCCAAUUUCCACCAGUGGUAAGCAAAUCAGAUGUUUAGCCGCUUCAAAACCCAUCUGAAGAUUGGUAAAAGUGAAGGUCGAAAGGGUAUUUUUGAAUGGGGCUUGCUCCCAGAUCUGUGCAGCAAAUAGACAAAGGAAAAACAGAUGAAGACCUGAUUCCUCUGCACUACAAUGUGGGCAAGCAGUUGUAGGGUUGAUGCCUCGAGCUUUCAAGUUGGCACCUAGGGGUAAAGCAUUCUUCAAUACUUUCAAUAAGAGAAACUUAAUUUUCGGGGAGCAUUUCUUUUUCCAUAUCUCUGAGUUCCAAUUGAGGUCACAGGUUGAGGUGGAACUUGUGUAUGAAGAUUCCGCAAAGUCUUAGCUGCGUAGUAGCCUGUUUUGGUGCUAUAAUCACCAGAUUUCGUGGGAAGCCAGAUAAAUUUAUCCCUAGCAACAAACCUACUUGGUCUGAACUGAAAGAUCUCUGAUUGGUAUUGAGGGAGGUAAGUUGCAAUCUUUUCUCUAUUCCAAGACUUGGAAAUAGGACAUAUUAAGUCCUUAACAGUCAUGAGUUGUGUCUCUUGAGUAGGAGGACCCAUUGGGGUUACGGAUGAUGAGAGAGAGAUCCAUGGUGCAUUCCAAACCAGGGUAUCAGCUCCAGAACCAAUCGAUCUUCCUAGUUGGGACUAGCAUCAAGAGCAUAGAUUUAUAAAACUAGACAUGAAUCCGAAACGGAAGUGUUUAAACAAAACAUAUUGAUCACUUCGUGGCUUUUCAAACAAAUUAAAAUUGUUACAGAAUCUUAGAUUGAUUAAUAAAAAAAGUGAGAGGAUUACCAAUACUGAAGUAGAGUCAUAAUUGUAAAGAAAUCGAUGAAGCUGUAUGUGUGAAAAAAUUAGUUCGUUCAUGCUCAAAGGUCUAAAUAAAAAAGACACAUACCUUGACACUAAUUUCCAACGAUGUAUUUUACUUGUGAGAAUAAUUUUGUUAUUUCAGCAAUACUAAAGACACAAAAGAAG